rnacentral:rRNA from 1 species
UACGGGGGGGGCAAGCGUUGUUCGGAAUUACUGGGCGUAAAGGGCUCGUAGGCGGCCAACUAAGUCAGACGUGAAAUCCCCAGGCUCAACCUGGGAACUGCGUCUGAUACUGGAUGGCUUGAAUUCGGGAGAGGGAUGCAGAAUUCCAGGUGUAGCGGUGAAAUGCGUAGAUAUCUGGAGGAAUACCGGUGGCGAAGGCGGCAUCCUGGACCGACAUUGACGCUGAGGAGCGAAGGCUAGGGGAGCAAACGGG